rnacentral:ncRNA from 1 species
AAUAUUUAGAGUUCGAUGUUAGCUCAGUGUUAUUACUAGUUAGAUAUAUAAUACAUGCAAAUUAUACAGUUAUUAAAUAAUAUAUAAAUAUUAUAAAGAUUAAUAAUAAUGUAGUGAAAAGGUGAGUAUUAUAAUAAUGAUAUGAACUAUUGGAUAUAUAAAAAUAUAUAUAUAAACAAAUUAGGUUUCCGGAUUUGAGAAUAAAUUAAAUAUUUAAAAUAUUUAAGCUAAUAGUCAAGUUAUUAUAUGUAUUAGGUAGUUGGUAAAUUAAAGGCUUACCAAGCCAAUGAUACUAAACUGACAAUGAGAGUUGGAACAGUCACCUUAGUCUAGAAUUAAAGACUAAUACCAUAAGGUACAGCAGUAGAAGAUAUUUGUCAAUGGACGAAAGUCUGAACAUGUAAUCUAACAAAAUGUAUAUUAUUAUGAUAUAAAACCCUUUGGGUUAUAUAUAUAUUAAAUAAAUUGAAAAUAUUAAAUAUAUUUUUUAUUAUAUAAUAAAAUUUAAUAUAAAAUUUAAGUUUAUAAUUAAAUUAUGAUUUUUUAUAAAUAUUAGUCCUUAACAAAUUUGGUGCCAGCAUUAGCGGUUAUACCAAUAGGGCGAGUAAUACACUAUAAAUGGUAGAAAGGACUUGUAGAUGGUAUAUAAUAUAUAUACUAGAAUAAAUUAAAUUAUGUUUAUAUAAUACUAUAAGUAAAGGUUAAAUUUGAUAAUAUAUAGUAGAAUAUUAAUAUAUGAAAAUAAUAAACAAUUAAUUUAUUGACAUUGAGAAGUGUAAUCUAGGAUAAUUAAGUAGGAGUAGUCAACCUAUUAAACCUAAGAUGUUAACUAUGUAUACUAAUAUUAUUAUAUUUAUUUUUUAUUUUUUAUUUUAAUAUUAACUUACUAGUAUAGUAUACCACCAGGGAAGUAUAUAUUAAUAUUUUAGAAACUCAAGACAUUAGGCGGUUUAGGCUAAUAACAGUGGAUUAUGUUGUUUAAUUCGAUAAUACACGCUAAUCUUACCAUAUUUUGAAUAUAGUUUUUAUUUUUCUAUACAAGUGUUACAUAGCUGUCUUUAGCUCAUGUUGUGAAAUAUUUGAUUUAAUUCGUUAAUGAGCGUAAUCUACUACAAUUUAUUUUUAAUUGUAUUUGAUAGAUAUAAUCUAUCUUAUUAUAGAUUAAGACAAGUAUUAUGACCUUUAUAUUAUGGGCUUUAAACGUAAUACAAUAAUAUAUAUAAAGUUUAAUUAAAUUGUAAAAUUUCAUUAAUAACUUAAAUUAUAUUAUAUAUAGAUAUAUUCCUUAUAUCUUAUUUAUUUGAAUUAUAGAUUGUAAUAUCUAUAUGAAAUUGGAAUUGUCAGUAAUAGUAUUAUAGUUAGGAUACUAUGAAGAAUACUCCUAUUCGUACUAAUCACUCAUCAUUUGGCUGAAUUAAUUAGUAACUAACGUUUAUUAUUUAUAUCUUGAUUCGGAAAAUCUCAUUUUUGAUUAUCUUUUUAUUCUUAAUUUAUUAAGUACAAAUUAUGACAGCUAAGAAGUUGAAAUAUAGUUACUGUAGAUGAAUCUGCAGUGGGCUGUUAUUAUUA